GGGGAAUUUUCCGCAAUGGGCGAAAGCCUGACGGAGCAAUACCGCGUGCGGGACGAAGGCUUUUGGGUCGUAAACCGCUUUUGUUAGGGAAGAAGAACUGACGGUACCUAACGAAUCAGCAUCGGCUAACUCCGUGCCAGCAGCCGCGGUAAUACGGGGGAUGCAAGCGUUAUCCGGAAUUAUUGGGCGUAAAGCGUCCGCAGGUGGUUUAUCAAGUCUGCUGUCAAAGCGUGGGGCUUAACCCCAUAAAGGCAGUGGAAACUGAGAGACUAGAGUACGGUAGGGGUAGMGGGAAUUCCCAGUGUAGCGGUGAAAUGCGUAGAUAUUGGGAAGAACACCAGCGGCGAAGGCGCMCUACUGGGCCGCAACUGACACU
rnacentral:rRNA from 1 species